rnacentral:sRNA from 1 species
UAUAAUUGCUGUUUUGUGUGAUAUCUAUAUAUUUCUUUAAAAAAUAUAUGUUUUUUUAAAGAAUAUUUGUAUAUGUCAAAGGAUUAAUUGUUUUAGUUAAUUAGUAUUCAUAUUUGCGUUCACUUAUUUCAACAUUUCAUGUUUUCAUUUCCCAUUGUUCAUUUGUUUACAUUCACACCGCUUCAUUCAUUCAUACAAUCAUUCAUAGUAUGAUAGUAGUACAAGAGGUCACGUGGUUACGUUUGGCGGGUGGAUCAGUGAAUGAAUGGGUGUGUUAGACUGGUUUUUCGGGUUUAGUGAGUGAGAACGCAUGUCCGUUUGCAUUAUCGAAUUUUUAGCACGAACUUUGAUUUAAUGUCACGACGCCACCCAAGACAGACGGUUGAAUUAUUAAGCUUCAUACAUAUAGCUUGUCAACCCGACUAUUAUCUAAGUUCAUAUUGCUGUUAAACUUGGUGGGUUAUUUUAAUCAAAUAUGUGUAAUUCAAAUAUUAUUUAACUAAAGAUAAAUUUAAUGAGUGAAUGUAGAGAAUGAGAGUGUUUAAUAAUGUUAUAAUUUUAUAUGAUUAUAGAUCACCUAGCUGUACUUGAGGAAACCAUUUAUUCGAUAUGCAAAUACAACAAUAAAUAUUCAGCGUCAUUUC